CCCAGAAGUUGCCUCUUUAACUAAUAAAUACAGUGCCCUAGGAGGAGUGCAGGCCUGGAAAGCUGAUGGCAAUUUCAACUACAUUAAGCUUCAGCUGUGAGGCCAAGUGGACGCUAGACAGAGCGUGAAGAGUUGGCAGAAGAAAAAGGGAAAGAGAGAACCAGGAAGGGUUACAGGAGCAAAGGCCCCGUGUUUGCAGGUCUUAGGAUGUCGAAAUCCUGCCGCUGGCUCUAAAAGCCUUGGCGUCGUGGGAAACAAACAAACAAAGCAAAAACAUCUAUUCAUCUGGAUUUUAUUCAUUUGUUUUAAAUACAAACAAAAGGAGAGAGGAGACAUGGUUAUUUCUGCAGCAACUAUUUCAAAUGCAACUUAUUCCAUCGCUCCAGGUGUUCCAAUGGUGUUUGUCACCGUAAGACCCACGGGGCUAGUUCCAACCAUUAUACUUAUUUCAAUGCCGCAUUCCAAAAGGGGAACACCUGCCACUUCUUCAAAGUCAGCUGAUCAUUUGGAAUGAUGGACGGCACGGCUGCCGAUGACGUUCCCCUUUCAAGUCUCUUUGUCUAAGUGAAUUAUCGUGCAUCCUUUUAAUUUUAUUGAACAAAUUACAUUUGUCAAGGUCUAUCUUUGUAAAUAAAUGAUAACUAGAGACACA
rnacentral:lncRNA from 1 species